rnacentral:misc_RNA from 1 species
UGGCUGGAAUUAAAGAAAAACAAUGAACUACUUGUGUCCAUUUCGGGUUACGACAGCCAUGCCACCGCGGGAAACACCGUGUUGGUCCACCUUAACCGCGGGGACACGGUGUACGUGAAGGCUCGACAAGGACAAGAAUUCUCACUGUUUGGAAGGAAUGACGAGAUAUACGCCACAUUCACUGGGUACAAAGUGAGUGACGCCAGCUACCAGGCCCCUCCCGCCCCCGACCAGGACCCGUUCGCCUUCCUGAACGGGCGCAGACGAUAAAGUGAGACAGGACAUUUGUUACACGUGACUCUAUAUGUACCAGAAUUAUUAAGUUAAGACCAAUAAAGAUAUCACUGUUUU